rnacentral:lncRNA from 1 species
AAUUAGAGCUAGCAAUCAUUUUCACAUGAGACUUUUUCCCUGCAGAAGGACUCCUUUGGCUUUGCGGGAAGCACUGAACAGGCAUUUACUACAAUCGAAAGCGAUUUCUUUUUGACCAGAAGUAUGAAAGUAAGAAGCAUGAAGUACUCUUCAGCUGAGUAUGUAACUACAGUUUUUGGAUGUGUUACUUCCAGACAAAAGCACAUCUGGUAAUCUGGGGGAGGACUGAGACAAAGACAGUGCUACUGUGAAGCCUGUAACUUGCUCCUUCCUGAA